AGUGAACGCUGGCGGUAGGCCUAAUACAUGCAAGUCGAACGGAAGCACAGGAGAGCUUGCUCUCUGGGUGGCGAGUGGCGGACGGGUGAGGAAUACAUCGGAAUCUGCCCAGUCGUGGGGGAUAACUUAGGGAAACUUACGCUAAUCCCGCAUACGACCUUCGGGUGAAAGAGGGGGAUCGCAAGACCUUUCGCGUUUGGAUGAGCCGGUGUCGGAUUAGCUAGUUGGCGGGGUAAUGGCCCACCAAGGCGACGAUCCGUAGCUGGUCUGAGAGGAUGAUCGGCCACACUGGAACUGAGACACGGUCCAGACUCCUACGGGAGGCAGCAGUGGGGAAUAUUGCGCAAUGGGCGCAAGCCUGAUCCAGCCAUACCGCGUGGGUGAUGAAGGCCUUCGGGUUGUAAAGCCCUGUUGUAGGGAAAGAAAUCAUUCAGACUUAUACCCUGAGAGGAUGACGGUACCCAAAGAAUAAGCACCGGCUAACUUCGUG
rnacentral:rRNA from 1 species